UACGUAGGGUGCAAGCGUUGUCCGGAAUUAUUGGGCGUAAAGAGCUCGUAGGCGGUCUGUCGCGUCGGCUGUGAAAACCCGGAGCUCAACUCCGGGCCUGCAGUCGAUACGGGCAGACUGGAGUUCGGCAGGGGAAACUGGAAUUCCUGGUGUAGCGGUGAAAUGCGCAGAUAUCAGGAGGAACACCGGUGGCGAAGGCGGGUCUCUGGGCCGAUACUGACGCUGAGGAGCGAAAGCGUGGGGAGCGAACAGG
rnacentral:rRNA from 1 species